UACGUAGGUGGCAAGCGUUAUCCGGAUUUAUUGGGCGUAAAGGGACGCAGGCGGUCUUUUAAGUCUGAUGUGAAAGCCUUCGGCUUAACCGGAGUAGUGCAUUGGAAACUGGGAGACUUGAGUGCAGAAGAGGAGAGUGGAACUCCAUGUGUAGCGGUGAAAUGCGUAGAUAUAUGGAAGAACACCAGUGGCGAAAGCGGCUCUCUGGUCUGUAACUGACGCUGAGGUUCGAAAGCGUGGGUAGCAAACAGG
rnacentral:rRNA from 1 species